rnacentral:rRNA from 1 species
UACGGGGGGAGCAAGCGUUGUUCGGAUUUACUGGGCGUAAAGGGCGCGUAGGCGGCCAGCACAAGUCAGUUGUGAAAUCUCCGAGCUUAACUCGGAAAGGUCAACUGAUACUGUGCGGCUAGAGUGCAGAAGGGGCAACUGGAAUUCUCGGUGUAGCGGUGAAAUGCGUAGAUAUCGAGAGGAACACCUGCGGCGAAGGCGGGUUGCUGGGCUGACACUGACGCUGGAGGCGCGAAAGCUAGGGGAGCGAACGGG